rnacentral:sRNA from 2 species
CUUAGUUAUGAGUUUCGUUCCCGAUAGGAUAAGGUGGUUUUUCUACCUUAGAGGCCUUGUAACCGGAAAUUAUUUACGAUGGGGGAAACAUUUGAUG